GAAAGUAAUUAAGGGCGCAUGGCGGAUGCCUUGGCUCAUGGAGGCGAUGAAGGACGUGAUAAGCUGCGAUAAGCUGCGGGUAGGUGCAAAUAACCUUUGAUCCGCGGAUUUCCGAAUGGGACAACCCAAUUACCAUAAGGUAAUUAUCAUAUAUAUGAUAUAUGAGGCGAACCGAGGGAACUGAAACAUCUUAGUACCUCGAGGAAGAGAAAAUAAACUAAUGAUUCCCCUAGUAGUGGCGAGCGAACGGGGAUUAGCCCAAACCAAUGUUGUAUUAUGCAAUGUUGGGGUUGUAGGACUACGUUGUUGUACUUGAAUUGCGAGAAGAAUAUUCUGGAAAGUUUAGCCAUAGCAGGUGAAAGCCCUUUAUUCGAAGCAUGCCAAGACAUAGUAGUAUCCUGAGUAGCGCGGGACACGUGUAAUCCUGUGUGAAUCUGCCGGGCCCAUCCGGUAAGGCUAAAUACUCCCAUGAGACCGAUAGCGUACCAGUACCGUGAGGGAAAGGUGAAAAGAACUUCGAUAAGAAGAGUGAAAUAGAUCCUGAACCCAUGCGCCUACAAGCGGUCGGAGCAUUAUAUGAUGUGACGGCGUGCCUUUUGCAUAAUGAACCUACGAGUUACCGUCACUGGCAAGGUUAAUCCUCUUAAGUGGAGCAACCGCAGUGAAAGCGAGCCUUAACAGGGCGUUAAGUCAGUGGUGGUAGACGCGAAACCAAGUGAUCUACACUUGUCCAGGAUGAAGUUCCGGUAACACGGAAUGGAGGUCCGAACCAAUAAGCGUUGAAAAGCUUCUGGAUGAGGUGAGUGUAGGAGUGAAAGGCCAAUCAAACUUGGAGAUAGCUCGUACUCCCCGAAAGGCAUUUAGGUGCCGCGUGCAGUGUUUUCCCCAAGAGGUAGAGCGACCGAUAGGACGCGAGGGCUUCACCGCCUAUCAAGUCCUGACGAACUCCGAAUGCUUAUGUUCCGCAGUCAUGCAGUAAGGGGGCGGGUGCUAAGGUCCGUCCCCGAGAGGAGAAGAAUCCAGACCGUCGUUUAAGGUCCCCAAAUUCUGUCUAAGUUAGUCUAACGAAGUCUGGUCCCCAUGACAGCCAGGAUGUUGGCUUGGAAGCAGCCAUUCAUUUAAAGAGUGCGUAACAGCUCACUGGUCGAGGGUCCGGGCAUGGAUAAUAAUCGGGUAUAAGGCAGAUACCGAAGGCGCGGGAUAGUAUUUAAAAAAGUAUCGGUAGGGGAGCAUUCCAUCGACGUUGAAUGAUAUAGGACAACUAUAUCUGGAGUUUAUGGAAAAGCAAAUGUAGGUAUAAGUAACGAUAAGGAGGGUAAGAUUCCCUCCCGCCGUAAGACCAAGGUUUCCCGGGCAAUGUCAAUCACCCCGGGGUUAGUCGGGUCCUAAGUCUCAGCCGAAUGGCGAUGGCGAUGGUAGAAACGGUUAAUAUUCCGUUACUGCUUUAAUGAGUGAUGGGCAGACGAAGAAGUGACACCACCGCGAGGCGACGGAAGUCCUCGUUGAAGAGUGUAGGAGUUGAUGAUUGCAGGUAAAUCCACAAUCAGAUCCGAACUUGAUAGUAUGGUUUUCUCCUCGGAGCGAACCAAUAGUGUGGGUAAUCCUGCUUCCAAGAAAAUGCUCUAAACAUAUUGUUAAAGCACCCGUACCGUAAACGGACACACGUAGUCGGGUAGAAUAUACUAAGGCGUUGAGAGAUUCAUGGUUAAGGAACUAGGCAAAUUGACCCCGUAACUUCGGAAUAAGGGGUCCUCAUUUUUAAUGAGGCGCAGAGAAUAGGUCCAGGCAACUGUUUAACAAAAACACAGGGCUGUGCUAACUCGAAAGAUGAUGUAUACAGUCUGACACCUGCCCGGUGCUGGAAGGUUAAGAGGAGAGCUUAUUCUUCGGAAGAAGGUUUGAAUUGAAGCCCCAGUAAACGGCGGCCGUAACUAUAACGGUCCUAAGGUAGCGAAAUUCCUUGUCGGGUAAGUUCCGACCUGCACGAAUGGUGUAAUGAUCUGGACACUGUCUCAACCAUGAUCUCAGUGAAAUUGUAGUAUCGGUGAAGAUGCCGAUUACCCGCGAUGGGACGAAAAGACC
rnacentral:rRNA from 1 species